rnacentral:rRNA from 1 species
CAUGCAGUCGAGCGGAUGAGGGAGCUUGCUCCUGGAUUCAGCGGCGGACGGGUGAGUAAUCGCCUAGGAAUCUGCCUGGUAGUGGGGGAUAACGUUCCGAAAGGAACGCUAAUACCGCAUACGUCCUACGGGAGAAAGCAGGGGACCUUCGGGCCUUGCGCUAUCAGAUGAGCCUAGGUCGGAUUAGCUAGUUGGUGAGGUAAUGGCUCACCAAGGCGACGAUCCGUAACUGGUCUGAGAGGAUGAUCAGUCACACUGGAACUGAGACACGGUCCAGACUCCUACGGGAGGCAGCAGUGGGGAAUAUUGGACAAUGGGCGAAAGCCUGAUCCAGCCAUGCCGCGUGUGAAGAAGGUCUUCGGAUUGUAAAGCACUUUAAGUUGGGAGGAAGGGCUGUAGGCUAAUAUCCUGCGGUUUUGACGUUACCAACAGAAUAAAGCACCGGCUAACUUCGUGCCAGCAGCCGCGGUAAUACGAAGGGUGCAAGCCUUAAUCGGAAUUACUGGGCGUAAAGCGCGCCGUAGGUGGUUCGUUAAGUUGAUGUGAAAGCCCCGGCUCACCUGGGAACUGCAUCCAAAACUGGCGAGCUAGAGUACGGUAGAAGGUAGUGGAAUUUCCUGGGUAGCGGUGAAUGCGUAAUAUAGAAAGGACCCCGUGGCGAAGCGACUUACCUGAAUGAUCUGACACUGAAGUGC